ensembl:lncRNA
GCAAUCUGUGUCAUGUAUAUUCACAUGAUGAGAGGCCUCCGCUGCAGACACAGUUAGGCUCAUUCAGCAUCAGAAAGCCCAUCUAUACUCUCAAACCCAGGCUGUUCUGUGCACUCACGCGGAGCGCGAACGCGACGCACAGCGCGUCUGAGGAUGUGCUCGCGCCACAGGCCGACAGAGAGCUCGUGCUAACACUCACAUCAUCAACUCUGCGAGGACUCGGACAUCACAACCACACAAACCGAGUCCGGAAUCACUAAUCAGGCCCGAUCCGAGCGCGCAUUCCGACCGCUGUUAAUAAACACACACUUUAAUGAAUAGCUGCGACGCGCGCUAGCUCGGGGCUAACUGCUAACACGGCUAACACUGCUAACUAGCCGCGCGGCUAACGCCUUUUCAUCACAAAUCUGACUGGUUUAUCAACACCACUCUCGAAUAAAGACUCGCGUCCGAGCUCUUCUGGCGAGUGGCGAGACUCGAGCGCUCGGGAGCGGAUGAUUUGCGGUGCGGGGAUACUCUGCUGGAUUCAGACGCGGUCGUGGCUCUCGGGAGCUGCCUGUGUUCGCUCGGCUCUUGUAGACACCGGAGUGUGUUAUGCUAAUGAGGCGCGGUGUAUGCCGGGAUUGCCGGUGGAGCGGGGAGUGAACGACACGUUACGUCACCAAACCAAAUCUGUGUCGACGACUGCGGUUUGUGCUGUGGCGCCUUCGGCAAAUCUGCGCAUCUUGAGACAUCGAAGUGAACCGCGGCGGCAGAUUCGCCACACACUCCAGCAUUAUGAGAUUUCUCUGUAUUUCUGACUGUCGCUCUCUCUUGGCAUUUCAUCUUCAGUUUGGUUUACUGCUUAUAUGAUCAUUGUAUAAUGUUUUCUGCCCCAUACAAACGAGGGCAAAUGCUUAUAGAUAGAUAUUUAUAUAUAUAGAUAGAUGUAAAGACCAUGUAAACUGUAGUUUGACAUUUAAAUAUAAUACAUUUAACUAACCUUAGCAAUAAAUGAGAGAGAAGAGUUGCCCA